rnacentral:rRNA from 1 species
UACGUAGGUGACCAGCGUUGUCCGGAUUUACUGGGCGUAAAGAGCGCGCAGGCGGUCGUUCAAGUCGAGUGUGAAAGCCCCCGGCUCAACUGGGGAGGGUCAUUCGAUACUGAUCGACUGGAAGGCAGGAGAGGGAAGCGGAAUUCCCGGUGUAGUGGUGAAAUGCGUAGAUAUCGGGAGGAACACCAGUGGCGAAGGCGGCUUCCUGGCCUGUUCUUGACGCUGAGGCGCGAAAAGCUAGGGGGAGCAAACGGG